rnacentral:tRNA from 1 species
ACGAAAGAUUGACGAUUGGUAAGAAUCCACAACAAGUUGUUCUUCAUGACGAUGUAUCUGAGGGUCUGUAGCUCAGUUGGUUAGAGCACACGCUUGAUAAGCGUGGGGUCACAAGUUCAAGUCUUGUCAGACCCACCAAAUCUGACUAACAAGCAUUGUUAAAUGCUGAAUACAGAAAAACAGAGACAUUGACUUAUUGAUAAGCUGGGGACUUAGCUUAGUUGGUAGAGCGCCUGCUUUGCACGCAGGAGGUCAGGAGUUCGACUCUCCUAGUCUCCACCAAAUUUUAAGAAUAGAAAACUUAAAGCACUGCUUUAAGGCUUUUCCUUGAAAUUUAAGCAAGAAGCUAUGCUUCGCGCAGAUAGGUUGGAUUACAGAAAUUAGUAAGUAGAUAACUUAUUAACUUCUGUGAUUUAUCACAGUUUCCUGACCUGACGAAGGCUGGAAAAAUCAUUAACAGAAUAUAUUUGAGUUGAAAUAAUUUGUUCAUACUCGUUUUUAAGAUUGACAUUAACAGUGAUUUAUUACUGAUUGAUGAAGGUUGAAGAAAUGAGUUACUAGCGAAAUUAACUGAAUCAAGCGUUUUGGUAUGUGAAUUGAAUUGAAGCUGUACGUAGUUAAAUCUACAAGGCUCCAACUGUAGCGAUUAAGUUCGCGACGCAAUAUCCUACUUGUAGGGAUUAGCGACUGUUUGGGGUUGUAU